rnacentral:snoRNA from 1 species
GGCCUCCUGGUACUUACCACAGGCUGUGUUCUAACACUGUACAGAAAUAGGAGGCAGAGUAAACCCUCCCCAUAUACACCUCAGCUCAGGCUCUUUGCCUGGUCUGCAUUGUGAAUGGGGAGACAUUG